GAUGAACGCUGGCGGCGUGCCUAAUACAUGCAAGUCGAGCGAACGGACGAGAAGCUUGCUUUUCUGAUGUUAGCGGCGGACGGGUGAGUAACACGUGGAUAACCUACCUAUAAGACUGGGAUAACUUCGGGAAACCGGAGCUAAUACCGGAUAAUAUUUUGAACCGCAUGGUUCAAAAGUGAAAGACGGUCUUGCUGUCACUUAUAGAUGGAUCCGCGCUGCAUUAGCUAGUUGGUAAGGUAACGGCUUACCAAGGCAACGAUGCAUAGCCGACCUGAGAGGGUGAUCGGCCACACUGGAACUGAGACACGGUCCAGACUCCUACGGGAGGCAGCAGUAGGGAAUCUUCCGCAAUGGGCGAAAGCCUGACGGAGCAACGCCGCGUGAGUGAUGAAGGUCUUCGGAUCGUAAAACUCUGUUAUUAGGGAAGAACAUAUGUGUAAGUAACUGUGCACAUCUUGACGGGACCUAAUCAGAAAGCCACGGCUAACUACGU
rnacentral:rRNA from 1 species